CCACAUUUUAUCGUCCGUUCCUUUAUAAGCGAGUGCUUUUCCUGUCCGACAGGACUGAGUAACCCGUUGAACUUCCUUCGUACUGGGGAUAGGGGAUUGUAAUUGUUUUCCUUUGAACGAGGAAUUCCCAGGAAAAGCGAGUCAUAAGCUCGUGUUGAUUACGUCCC
rnacentral:ncRNA from 1 species